rnacentral:rRNA from 1 species
AGUGAACGCUGGCGGCAGGCCUAAUACAUGCAAGUCGAACGGCAGCACAGCAGAGCUUGCUCUGUGGGUGGCGAGUGGCGGACGGGUGAGGAAUACGUGGGAAUCUGCCCAGUCGUGGGGAUAACGUAGGGAAACUUACGCUAAUACCGCAUGCGCCCUUCGGGGAAAGCCGGGGACCUUCGGGCCUGGCGCGAUUGGGUGAGCCCACGUCGGAUUAGCUAGUUGGCGGGGUAAAGGCCCACCAAGGCGACGAUCCGUAGCUGGUCUGAGAGGAUGAUCAGCCACACUGGAACUGAGACACGGUCCAGACUCCUACGGGAGGUAGCAGUAGGGAAUAUUGGACAAUGGGCGCAAGCCUGAUCCAGCCAUGCCGCGUGAGUGAAGAAGGCCCUCGGGUUGUAAAGCUCUUUUGUCCGGAAAGAAAGCGCCGGGUUAAUACCCUGGUGUCCUGACGGUACCGGAAGAAUAAGCACCGGCUAACUUCGUGCCAGCAGCCGCGGUAAU